rnacentral:rRNA from 1 species
GACGAACGCUGGCGGCGUGCUUAACACAUGCAAGUCGAACGGAAAGGCCUGCUUUCCCUUGUGGAUUGCGGGUACUCGAGUGGCGAACGGGUGAGUAACACGUGAGUGAUCUGCCCCCAACUUGGGUAUAAGCCUGGGAAACUGGGUCUAAUUCCCGAUAGGACUGCAGGGUGGUGCCUGUGGUGGAAAACGAUUUUCUAGUGGUUGGGGAUGAGCUCGCGGCCUAUCAGCUUGUUGGUGGGGUAAUGGCCUACCAAGGCGGCGACGGGUAGCCGGCCUGGGAGGGUGGACGGCCACAGUGGGACUGAGAUACGGCCCAGACUCCUACGGGCGGCAGCAGUGGGGAAUAAUGCACAAUGGGCGGAAGCCUGAUGCAGCGACGCCGCGUGAGGGAUGACGGCCUUCGGGUUGUAAACUCCUUUCGACCGCGAGGAAGCCACCUGGUUGGAAGGGUGGUGACGGUAGUGGUAGAAGAAGCACCGGCUAACUACGUG